rnacentral:rRNA from 1 species
UAGGACGAUCAUAGCGACCUGGUCAUACCCGAUCCCAUCUCGAUCUCGGAAGUCAAGCAGGUCUACGUUCUGUUUGGUACUGCACUUCGUGCGGGAAGGACAGAAAGUUGUCCAUU